GCUUGGUAUUAAGGGCUCAGUUGGUACAUCAUGAGACUCUUAAUCUUAGGAUCAUGAGUUCAAGCCCUACAUUGGGCA